rnacentral:lncRNA from 1 species
GCUUUCUCUCUGCUCUCUCUCUCUCUCUCUCUCUCUCUCUCUCUCUCUCUCUCUCUCUUACCCCACCCCCACAUUCUAUUUUUCCUCAGAGCCGUGAAUGGGCAGGUCUGUCUCUGGUUUGGCACCGCUGAGUUCUUCCCACGCAUUUGCCCCAGAGCUGCUCGGAUGUGAGACGAAAUCUCCCUACAAUGGGCUCGCUCCCAUUGUUUGUACAGUUUAAUAGAUGCUGCCACGUUGGAGGUUACCCAUGAGUCAGAAAUCCGUUUUCCAUGCUUACUCUUGACACCGCAUUGAAGCCACUCACCGUGUGUGCGUCUGGGUGUGAAGUCCAGCUCCUUCCGUGCAGCCCUGUGCUUGGACUCCCUGCCUUGCUGUCCUUUGCACCUCUCAUCGAGUGCUGUUUUGAAAUGCUGACAUUAUAUAAACGUAAAAGAAAAUGUAAAAAAAAAAUUAAAACACACACACACAAAUCCAUACGAUCUGUAUUUGUAUAUACACGUGUCCGUACAACUAUACCUAAAUAAAAAUUAAAGAUUUUCAUCAUUUU